AUGAAACCAAUAGAGCAAGUACAAAAAAUAAAAGGGACGGGCAUGGCUCAAACUUCAAACAUCCGCGAGAUUGAAAUCCUUUUACUAGAAGAUGAAAAGAUCCAAAUCACGCUAUGGGGGGAUAUUUUAGCAAAUACGGUGAACGAAAGUCUUUUGGACAAACAAACAAUAGUGAUUGUCACUUCAAAUUUGGUCAAAAAAUUCAAUGGGCUAUCACUACACACAACAAAUGCAUCUAAAGUCUUCCUCAACCCUGAAAUUCCAGAGGCAGACCAAAUUAUUGAGAGGUAUUGUGAAAGAGAUGUUAUUCCAUAUGAUUGGAAUCGAUGA
rnacentral:rRNA from 1 species